rnacentral:tRNA from 1 species
UUCCUGGUGGCUCAGACGGUAAAGCGUCUGCCUGCAAUGCAGGAGAUCCGGGUUCGAUUCCUCGGUUGGGAA